rnacentral:lncRNA from 1 species
UCAACAAAAAUACAAUCUAGGUCUUCUAAACAUAUUUUAACAAUAAAACCUCACCACAAACUAUUUAUAAUCAUACCUGAGAUCUCAAAAUAUGUGAACAAGUCUUUGACCUCCAAAUUCCUAUUCUUUCUUCAAACUUCGUCUUUUAACUCUUCGAGACUCCAUUCAAACUUCACGAUAGUCGCUAACCAAAAAAAAUCUUAACAAUCUCCCCCUUUGGCGAUUUCGUGACAAAAUAUAAAAUCAUUACAAUACUCAUUCACAACUAAAAGAAAAAGAAGAAGAUUAUCGCAAUCACAAAACGACAAUCUUCUGUAUGAUCGAUCCAAUAAAAACAAAAAUACAUCUUUCACAUUCUAAUACAAACUCUAUGACUUAAGACAUGACAUGGAGU